rnacentral:lncRNA from 1 species
GAGGUUCAAUCGGUUGCGCCUUUUCUAGAUUUAGUCUCCAUUUGGCGUUGCUAUCCCAUUUGCUGUUUUGGAUCUGGAGUGGGGAUCCCUGAUUUCAGUUUGGGUUUUUGUCUGAUUUUCAGCUAACUAAAGAGGAUUAGCACUCAUGGAACUUAGCAGAUUCAAAGGUGGAUGUUUUCUUCUUUGCUUUCCUAAUCUGAGUUUCAAGGCCCUCAUAUAUAUAUAUAUAUAUGGGGGUUUAGAAGUGGACGUCCGCACCGCCCUUAGAGUGCGGACGUCGCCGAUUUCUCCACCUUCAGGUGUCGAUCACGCCGUUUCUUCUUGCCAGACGGACACCAGACCUUGAUACGGAGCUUCUUCUCGCCGGUGGACUCGCCGGCUACAAAUUUGCAGCCAACCUUGAUCGAUCUUCAAGUUUUGGGUGAGAUUGUUGCCCAGACCUUCAAUCCCGAUCUUCUUCUUCAUGAGAACAAUUGACGGUAAGUGAAUAGCAGUUCAGAGGCAAUAACUCCUACCUAUUAUUCUGUUCUUCUCAAUUUCACUGAUCUUCAUCUGCAAAUUGAUUGUCUUUGCGAUUCUUCUUCUUCCUUUGUUUUUUUUGAUGUGCAAGGUGAAUUGGAUUUACAGGUGUUCUUAAUCAGGUUUAUAACCAUUGUUGUUUGACAUUGAAAGCUUAUCCGAACUGAUCCAAGUCUGGGUGCUCAGGUUUGUACUGGUAAUCAAGCAAAAAUAAAUAUAUGUAUCGUUUUUAUUUCUCUCAUCAAUUACUGGAAUACUGCAACGAAAACUUAUCAGAGGGGGGUAUUGGUUUUUCUUUUGAUUAGAACUAAUCCAAUCCUUUAUUUCAGGAAACUGGGAGAAAUAUAAAGACAAAUAUCUGAUCUAAGUUUCGCUGUUCAGGGUAGUACUGGUAAUGAGCUUUUGUGAAUUAUAAUCGAGCUAGCUUUCAUUAUUGCAAUUUGUGAAAAUGCUAGAGUUCAUGGUCUCUGAAUUGGAUUAUAUUGCAGGGUUGUGCUCUGUACUUCUGUUGCUUUCAUUGAAGUUUUCAAAAGAGCUGUGCCGACAAAGCACUAUGCUGAUUUGGGUGUAUCUUUGUUGGGGUUCAGGAGUACCUUGGCUUUUCAGGUUUGUAACUCUUCUUCAUUUGUGUUGAGACAGAUUACUUUCAUAGUAAUCUUUUGUAUCAAAAUUAGUAAUCUUUUACUUAGAAAAUAUUAUUGGGUAGAAAUCUUUUGAACAUAAUAUUUUCUAAGGUGUGUAGCUAAUCCGUUUGUGCUCUGUGUGACUGGAUGUGACUAUAACUAAUUUUUUUGACAAUGUCCAUUACUUUUUAAUGAAUUUUCAAGUUGGGUAGUUGUGUUACCGAUUUAUAGAACAUACUAAUUUCAUAGUUAUCUCAAAAAUCUUUCAUAGUAAUCUUUAAACAAAAGAUUACUAAUUGGUCAAUAUUAAUCUUUUGUUUAAUGAAUUUUCAAGUUGGGUAGUUGUACAUUAUUGGGUAGUAAGCUCAAUAUUUUCUAAGUUGGGUAAUCUUUUGUUUACGAUCUUUGAUAUAACCUAGAAGGUAUUACUGAUGCAAAAGCUCUUUCUCUUUUGCGUUUGUUAACGAAUAAAUUUCCUGAUAAUACUAAUUUUGGGAGAAAGGCUUUGAAGACUGUAGUUUUUGUUUAUAGAAAAAGGCUCUGUCGUUUGUGGUAUAAAAAAGUAAUAUACUUUCAUGAGAGAAUUGACAAAAUUUGGGCAUGAUCUGGUGUAGCACUCCUAGACCUUUACGUGAAGAUAUAAUUUGUAUAAUGUGUUGGAGCUAAGUUGGUUACAAAUUGCUUAUAUCAAAUUUGUGAAUUCUAUAGGUUAUAUUAGCCUCUUUGGAGCAAGGGGUUCGGGAGGAAAUAUAACCGUCUGUUUUGGUUCAUAUUUAGUUUCCCCUCAACGUCGACAGCACCAAUUGCUGGGUAUAGGUAUAUGGUAUUCAAUUUUGAUUUGCUUAUAACUUGCUCAUCUUUCUUGCUUGCUUUUGCAUCGGGUUGUUUAUACCGUUUAAUUUUACAUGCUCAGCCUAAUUUUGAUACAUGUUAAAUUACUUCUCAUCUAUUUUAUUAAGUAAGUUGUUUCAUGUAUGUACUGUAUGAUUUCACAUACUCAACCUAAUUUUGAUAUAAAGCUAUCUUUUCAUCAGGUUUACUAAUUUGAGGUUCUUUCCAUGUGUGUAGCUAAUCCGUUUGUGCUCUGUGUGAUCGGAUGUGACUAUUACUGUUCCAUUUUUACUAUGAAUCUUAUUUCAUAUAGAAAAAUUGAUCAUUCUUAUAACUAAAGUUUUUGACAAUGUCCAUUACUUUUUAAUGAAUUUCAAGUUGGGUAGUUGUGCUGCCGAUUUAUAGAUAUAGAAACAAUUAUUUAUAGGAGUGAAAAUGCGAUUGGUUUAUUUCUGCUACGACAAUUGAUUUAAUGAUUACUAAUUUUCAUUUCAGUUAUUCCACUACCAGUUGCUGCAGUAGAAAAGGAGGAGCUGUUGAAUUUUGGGCUUCAGGCACAUAUUGUGAAAAAAAAAAGGUGAGGGUUGAUGAUUAGGCUCGGUUGCUUUUCCGACUUUCAUGUUGCUACCAUUUGCUUAUCUUAAAUCAAAAUAUGUAUAUUGUCGUCUUUUUCAGAUUAUGUUUUGUGCUUUCAGUAAUGACACAUCCUGCAAUUUCAUUAAAGCUAGCAAAUUCAUAAAAUAUAUAACAAAAUCUAUUUCUGAUGAAAGCUUGCGAUUUCAUGUUUUCGAUAACUGUAAAAGACGAACAAGGUUUUUUGAAUUUGGUUGCUCAUACAUGAAAGCAAAUCAGUCAGACUAUGUAACAACAAAUCACUUUGUGAUUUACAGUCUAUUAGGACUUCCUUAUUUUGGAUACUUUUUCUGUUGUUUACCAAAUUGUUCUGUUGUUUCCCAUCUGUAGUUGUUAAAGUUCUGAGUCAUUGUUCACAUGUAGCGUAAAUUUCAGCUAUGCCGCCUAAAUUCAGAACUUCCAAGAGGAAAGAGUUUUUCCGAACACCGGAAAAUUUGCAACAACUUUCAGGUCAUGAGACAGCAGCACCUUUGCACUGUAAUGAAAACGAGGGCACAAGCAGAUCAAAUCAAUGUAAAAAAAGGGUUAAUGAGGACAAUCCUGAUUGUAUUGACGUCUGUGAUGUGAAUGGAAGUGUAUCAG